GUCUGAUGUACGCAUUCGCCAAGAAAAGUCGUGCACGGUAACAAGAUAAAAAUUAACAGGUGCAAAAAUAUGAAAUAAAAUGACCAAAAACACAAUUACUGGAAGAAAUUUAAUAUGCUGUAAUGGUGUAGUAGAAAUUAGUUGUCAUCGCUACUGUUCAGAAUAGCCCAAACAUGCAGCGUGACAUGGCCUGAAAUUUUGUUAUGCAGGAUUUAUACUACCAAUUAAUGUCUAUAAAAUAUUGUGGAUAUGGCGUAACGGAACUUCUGGGAAAAUAUGGUACUUACCCCUAUGCGAUUUAUUUGCUAUUACGAUUUUUUCCGAAGCCAUUGAAUCGAAAAAGUGUGAACAUUUUUAUUUUAAUAGUAAAUGUCACGAAAUACAUUACACUUUAGCGAA